UUGGAAGUAAAAAGUNGUAACAAGGUUUCCGUAGGUGAACCUGCGGAAGGAUCAUUACCGAGUUUUCGAGCUCCGGCUCGACUCUCCCACCCUUUGUGAACGUACCUCUGUUGCUUUGGCGGCUCCGGCCGCCAAAGGACCUUCAAACUCCAGUCAGUAAACGCAGACGUCUGAUAAACAAGUUAAUAAACUAAAACUUUCAACAACGGAUCUCUUGGUUCUGGCAUCGAUGAAGAACGCAGCGAAAUGCGAUAAGUAAUGUGAAUUGCAGAAUUCAGUGAAUCAUCGAAUCUUUGAACGCACAUUGCGCCCCUUGGUAUUCCGGGGGGCAUGCCUGUUCGAGCGUCAUUACAACCCUCAAGCUCUGCUUGGAAUUGGGCACCGUCCUCACUGCGGACGCGCCUCAAAGACCUCGGCGGUGGCUGUUCAGCCCUCAAGCGUAGUAGAAUACACCUCGCUUUGGAGCGGUUGGCGUCGCCCGCCGGACGAACCUUCUGAACUUUUCUCAAGGUUGACCUCGGAUCAGGUAGGGAUACCCGCUGAACUUAAGCAUAUCAAUAAGCGGAGGAAGCUUCUAACGGUCUAUUAAGUUAGACAAUUUACCCCAAGGUUUGACCUCAAAUCAGGUAGGACUACCCGCUGAACUUAAGCAUAUCAAUAAGCGGAGGAA
rnacentral:rRNA from 1 species